rnacentral:rRNA from 1 species
CCGACAGGCGUAGGCGAUGGAUAACAGGUUGAUAUUCCUGUACCACCUAUAAUCGUUUUAAUCGAUGGGGGGACGCAGUAGGAUAGGCGAAGCGUGCGAUUGGAUUGCACGUCUAAGCAGUAAGGCUGAGUAUUAGGCAAAUCCGGUACUCGUUAAGGCUGAGCUGUGAUGGGGAGAAGACAUUGUGUCUUCGAGUCGUUGAUUUCACACUGCCGAGAAAAGCCUCUAGAUAGAAAAUAGGUGCCCGUACCGCAAACCGACACAGGUAGUCAAGAUGAGAAUUCUAAGGUGAGCGAGCGAACUCUCGUUAAGGAACUCGGCAAAAUGACCCCGUAACUUCGGGAGAAGGGGUGCUCUUUAGGGUUAACGCCCAGAAGAGCCGCAGUGAAUAGGCCCAAGCGACUGUUUAUCAAAAACACAGGUCUCUGCUAAACCGUAAGGUGAUGUAUAGGGGCUGACGCCUGCCCGGUGCUGGAAGGUUAAGAGGAGUGGUUAGCUUCUGCGAAGCUACGAAUCGAAGCCCCAGUAAACGGCGGCCGUAACUAUAACGGUCCUAAGGUAGCGAAAUUCCUUGUCGGGUAAGUUCCGACCCGCACGAAAGGCGUAACGAUUUGGGCACUGUCUCAACGAGAGACUCGGUGAAAUCAUAGUACCUGUGAAGAUGCAGGUUACCCGCGACAGGACGGAAAGACCCCGUGGAGCUUUACUGUAGCCUGAUAUUGAAAUUCGGCACAGCUUGUACAGGAUAGGUAGGAGCCUUUGAAACGUGAGCGCUAGCUUACGUGGA